AGAGUUUGAUCCUGGCUCAGGAUGAACGCUAGCGGCAGGCUUAACACAUGCAAGUCGAGGGGUAUAAGUCUUCGGAUUUAGAGACCGGCGCACGGGUGCGUAACGCGUAUGCAAUCUACCUUUUACAGAGGGAUAGCCCAGAGAAAUUUGGAUUAAUACCUCAUAGUAUAUAGAGUUGGCAUCAACACUAUAUUAAAGUCACAACGGUAAAAGAUGAGCAUGCGUCCCAUUAGCUUGUUGGUAAGGUAACGGCUUACCAAGGCUACGAUGGGUAGGGGUCCUGAGAGGGAGAUCCCCCACACUGGUACUGAGACACGGACCAGACUCCUACGGGAGGCAGCAGUGAGGAAUAUUGGUCAAUGGACGCAAGUCUGAACCAGCCAUGCCGCGUGCAGGAUGACGGUCCUAUGGAUUGUAAACUGCUUUUGCACAGGAAGAAACAACUCUACGUGUAGAGUCUUGACGGUACUGUGAGAAUAAGGAUCGGCUAACUCCGUGCCAGCAGCCGCGGUAAUACGGAGGAUCCAAGCGUUAUCCGGAAUCAUUGGGUUUAAAGGGUCCGUAGGCGGUUUAGUAAGUCAGUGGUGAAAGCCCAUCGCUCAACGGUGGAACGGCCAUUGAUACUGCUAAACUUGAAUUAUUAGGAAGUAACUAGAAUAUGUAGUGUAGCGGUGAAAUGCUUAGAGAUUACAUGGAAUACCAAUUGCGAAGGCAGGUUACUACUAAUGGAUUGACGCUGAUGGACGAAAGCGUGGGUAGCGAACAGGAUUAGAUACCCUGGUAGUCCACGCCGUAAACGAUGGAUACUAGCUGUUGGAAGCAAUUUCAGUGGCUAAGCGAAAGUGAUAAGUAUCCCACCUGGGGAGUACGUUCGCAAGAAUGAAACUCAAAGGAAUUGACGGGGGCCCGCACAAGCGGUGGAGCAUGUGGUUUAAUUCGAUGAUACGCGAGGAACCUUACCAAGGCUUAAAUGUAGAUUGACCGGUUUGGAAACAGACUUUUCGCAAGACAAUUUACAAGGUGCUGCAUGGUUGUCGUCAGCUCGUGCCGUGAGGUGUCAGGUUAAGUCCUAUAACGAGCGCAACCCCUGUUGUUAGUUGCCAGCGAGUCAUGUCGGGAACUCUAACAAGACUGCCAGUGUAAACUGUGAGGAAGGUGGGGAUGACGUCAAAUCAUCACGGCCCUUACGCCUUGGGCUACACACGUGCUACAAUGGCCGGUACAGAGAGCAGCCACUGGGCGACCAGGAGCGAAUCUACAAAACCGGUCACAGUUCGGAUCGGAGUCUGCAACUCGACUCCGUGAAGCUGGAAUCGCUAGUAAUCGGAUAUCAGCCAUGAUCCGGUGAAUACGUUCCCGGGCCUUGUACACACCGCCCGUCAAGCCAUGGUAGCUGGGGGUGCCUGAAGUCGGUGACCGCAAGGAGCUGCCUAGGGUAAAACUGGUAACUAGGGCUAAGUCGUAACAAGGUA
rnacentral:rRNA from 1 species